ACUUUUUUAGUAUAAUAAUUAUAUUUGACUUCCAAUCAAAAGAUCUUAAUUUAAGAAAAAGUA
rnacentral:tRNA from 1 species